rnacentral:rRNA from 1 species
AACGAACGCUGGCGGCAGGCUUAACACAUGCAAGUCGAACGCCCCGCAAGGGGAGUGGCAGACGGGUGAGUAACGCGUGGGAAUCUACCCAGAUCUUCGGAACAACUGAGGGAAACUUCAGCUAAUACCGGAUACGCCCUACGGGGGAAAGAUUUAUCGGUUCUGGAUGAGCCCGCGUUGGAUUAGCUAGUUGGUGAGGUAACGGCUCACCAAGGCGACGAUCCAUAGCUGGUCUGAGAGGACGAUCAGCCACACUGGGACUGAGACACGGCCCAGACUCCUACGGGAGGCAGCAGUGGGGAAUAUUGGACAAUGGGCGAAAGCCUGAUCCAGCCAUGCCGCGUGAGUGAUGAAGGCCUUAGGGUUGUAAAGCUCUUUCAGUGGGGAAGAUAAUGACGGUACCCACAGAAGAAGCCCCGGCUAACUUCGUGCCAGCAGCCGCGGUAACAC